GAGCAGCAGAAGGGAAUCAUUUCAUGCCUCCAAACCUUCUUCAGUCUCAGUUGGACUCACUUCAGCUUGAUCCUUCAGAAGGCAUACUCAAGGUUGAUGCUACUCAAAGUCCUGACGAUACUGUCAAUGGCAUACAAGCUCUGAUCUUCUGAUCGUCAAUUCCUCAGACAAAAAUUAGGUAUUCAAGACCUUAUCUAGUUGAGAUGAAAAGGAGUUUUAUUUUAUUUUAUUUUUUAUUUUUAUUUAAUCUAAUUCAAGUUGAAGAUGGCUCCAUCAAACAUGACUGAUUGGUUUCAAAGUCUCACCAGAUUCAUUUCCAUGUUUUUUUCGUCACUAGGUGUAAUUGAACCCGAGCAUUUGCCUUAUGAAUAUACAGACAGGAAGUGAAAAGGAAUCCAUAGGAAUGACACAGACUCAAAUGACAACAAUGGCAGGAAUCUAAAAUUGGUGAAAAAUAGAUUUUAUUUUGUAACUGAACAUCACUUCUUGAAAGUGCAAUGCCAUAGAUCUUGAUAAUUUUUGUUGGAUAUGAAUAAAAAUGUUUCUACUCGUGCUUGCCUUGGUUGUAAGGUGCUAAAAAAAUUAUGGUUCGGGAUUUAAAUAAGUCAAGAUCAAGAUAACAACAGCUUAUCAAAAGAAUGAACAUACCUAAAGGAUUUAUGCAGGUUUAGUAAAAGCUGCAUAUGCACAUCCUAUGCAGGUUAUGGUAGCAAAGAGGAGAAAUGGAAAAAAAAAGAGGCAAAAUAUGGUUUAAUUUUUUAGUUUCUUAUCAUUGUGGUUUUUGAGGAUACUAAUCGAUUGUCUAGUAUAAAGCCUAUUAUCACCCCUUGUGCAUGAGUGCUUAAGAAAAGCCAAAGUCAGUGACACUAUGUUUUAUUAUGCAAGCUACAUUGAGGGUGUCUUUUGGUAUGAGCCUAUCCUCACAUCCCAUGCAUAGAGGCCUAAGUUUAGGAGACUAUUGUCACAAGAUGAUUCAAAUGAGCCUCCCCAUGGGCUUAUAUAGAGCCAGGAAGCUUCUGGAGACUCCUAGAGUGGGAAGAGAGUGUGGAAGGUUCUAGAGAUGCCUGGAGGAAUCCACACAACUCUACACUAUGGUGGAAGACAUGAGAGGAGUCCACAGCCUUCUAAAGAAUUCCAGAGGUCUCUUGUAUAUUUUUGUACAUAGGCUUGUACCUAAAAUGAUGUUGGACAUUCUAGAAUAUACUUGAAUUGGAAGGAACCCUCCAAGGUUCCAGAGAGUUCCAUUGGUGCCUAUAAAUAGGUGAGGGCCUCAUUUGGCCAAGGCACCAAGCAAGUGAGUCUUCAAAACACUUGUAAAGGCUUCCUUGAGUAAUAAGAGCUUCCAUUCUCUAAGAGUUGCCUACUAAGCUUCUUAAGCUUUCGAGUUGUGAGCAUCUUAGCCUAGCAAGCUAAGCAUUGGGAGCAAGGCUGACUUAGCAAGAUCAAGUGUCUUGACUUGCCUAAGUGUCGCACGAGCUUAGUGAACGACUAAGUCCGUGACACUAUGCUUUGAUUGUCAUGGCUUGUUCUUGGGUGCUUAGGAGAAACAAAUUACGCAACACUAUGCUCCGGUAUGCAAGCUACAUUGAGAGGGUCUUUAUCAAGUUUAAAACUUGUCUAGUAUGGGUCUAUUGUCAUGCCCUAUCCAUGGGUGCUUAGGAGAAGUCUUAAGUUUGGGACACUGAUUGUCAUGCCUUGUGCUUGGGUGCUUAGUGAGAAACCUAAGUAUGCGACACCAUACUUUGAUAUGCAAGCUACAUUGAGGGUGUCUUUCUCAAGUUUAAAACUCGGCUAGUACAAGUCUAUUGUCAUGCUUUAUGGGUGCUCGGGAGAGGCCUAAGUUUCAUUUUGUCCAGCAUGAAGUUACUGUCAUGCCUUGUGGAUGGGUGUUUAGGAGAGGCCUAAGCUUGAGACGCCAUAAUCUCAGUUAUGCUGGUUUUAGGAAAGUAUUAAGAAAAAAAAAAUUAAGAAAAUGAUUUUCUCGUAUUCGGUUUUAUUAAGGAAAAUAUUUAAAAAAAAAAACAAAUAUAAUUCAAAAUGAUUAGAAAUUUAUGUAUUUUCAAAUUAUUUAAUCAUUAUAUAAAAAUUAAAAUAAAUAAAAUGAGUUGACAUAAAAAAAAUUUAUUGAUAUUAAAUAUAUUUUUUAUUUUCCUUCGUUAUAUCUUUCCUUCUACUUUCUUCUUUGUUUUCUUUCUUUUGUAUUUUUCAGCAAAUUUUCUAGGAAUCAAACAUUACCUUAAGAAAUAGAGAAACAAUUGUAAAAAUAUUUUUCUCCUCAUUUUUUUUUUCUACUUUCAUAAAAGUGAGGAAUUUUUUUUUAAAUAGAAAAACAAACAAGAAACAACUUUUAUAAUUUUUUCAUAUUUCUUUAUUUCCUUAUAUUUUUCUUCUAUUUUCUUUUCUUGAACCUUUUGGGAACUAAAUAUAUAUUAAAAAAUGAAGUAUAAUAUAAAUAAAAUAUAUAAAAAACAUAAUACAUAAAAAAGAUAAUUAUAAAUAUUUUUCAAUAUUAGCACAAUUUCUUUGGAAAAUUACUAAUUUACUAUUAUGUACAUAUUUUUUAAAAUCUUUACUAAUUUAUUAUGUACAUAUAUGAAUAAGAAAAUAACUUAAUUUUAUUUAAUAAUUUAAUUGUAUUUAAUAAUUUAAUUGUAUUUAAUAAUUUAAUUGUACUUGACCUUAACUAAAAUUGCACUAGGGUAAAAUCAAAGAAUCAUUCACAUUAUCAUUUUUCCACUACAAGAAUAAAAUAUUUGUUAGAGUUGUUCAUUAUACAUUUUUUUUAUUGCAAAUUAAAUCAUAAUUAUGAAAUUUCAAAAAAUUAAUUAGUUUUAUUUCAAAAUUUAAUUAAUUUUAUUUAUUACCUAAUAUUAUAUAUAAAAAAACUCUAAUUCUAUGUUUGAUUCCUGGAAGUAGUAAGAAAAGAAGAAAAAAAUCAUAAAGAAAAUAGUUUUCUCGUGUUUGGUUUCAUUAAAAAAAUAUGAAAGAAAAUCAAAUAUAAUUAAAAUUAAUUAAAAUUUUAUGAAUUUGAAAAUUAUUUUAUUUUUAUAUAAUAGAGAAAAAUAAGUGAAAUGGGUUUGAAAAAACAUUUUAAAAUAAUUCAUUAACUUUGAAUCUACUUUUUAUUUUCCUUCUACUUUUUCUUUUCAUAGUCUAUUAAUUUUUACUAAUUUAUUAUGCACUUCCUAAACUAUUAUUUUUAUUUAAACAUUAUUACUGAACUAUUUCUUUAAUUAAAACAAAAUUUCUAAGCUAUCAAACGCUCAAUUUCACAUACACCCAAUAAAUAUAUAUAAAAAAAAUAUUUAUAGAUACCAAUAAAAAUGAAACUAAAUAAAAGUAGGAAAAUAAAAUAAGUACCCAAACAAAAGCUUACAAUAAGCUCAAUGCCUCACUUACACCUUCAGUGAGCCUCCUUUUCUUUCAUAAAAUUUGGUUCUCCACGUGUCAUAAAUUUACGCUCACCCAAUGCAAUACCAAUAACAGAAUAGGGUCAUGCAAAACAAAAGGGAGUCCAAAGUAAAUAUGCAUAGCCUAAAAUAAUUCAAGCCCAAAUGUAAUAAACCCAAAAACAUCCUUCAAAUUGAUCUAACAAAUUUCACUACUAAAAAAAAUGGACCCAAAAUUAGCGACAAAAAUAUCUCACAUCCCAUAAACCUUAAUCCAAGAUUCCGAAUUAAUCAGCAAAAUACAAGUACAAUUAACCAAGCCCAAAAUAUGACAAAACAAGAUAAAUUCAAUUAGACCUAAAUUUAAUAUCUCAUAAUUCAAGUCUAAUUUAAUAUACAAAUCGAAUCCUAAACCAAAAUCAAGCUCAAUUUAAUAAAUGUAUAACUAAACAAGUUAAGCAAGCCCAAAUUUCCCAAACCACUACCUAGAAAUCAAAUAAUAAUAAUAAUAAUAACAACAAAAGAAAAUAAAAUAAAAUAAAAUGAAAAUAAAAAUUUUACCUCACGCUUGAAGCCUAAAGUGGAGAAGAAGGUUGUGCAGCAAGAUGCACUGGGUUUGGGUGUCGCGGGUAAAUAGAGUGUGGGAAGAGGGUCUGAUGGUGAGGUCGUGUGAGUGUGUGUGUGGGGAGAAGAAAUAAAGGAAAGUAAGAGAGAAAAUGGGGAAGAAAGAGAGAAGGGAGAAGGAAGGGCUGUGUCUCUGUGAGUGGCCAUGUGUGGUGAGGGGGAGAGUGAAGAAAAAAUGGAAUGAAAAAAUGAGAGAAAAAAGGAGAAAAGAAAAUGGAAAGGGAAAGAAGAGGAGAGAGAGUGGGGGGAGUGUGGGCAGAGAUAAAAAGGAGGAAAGAAAAAAAAAAAAAUAAAGAAAAAAU
rnacentral:lncRNA from 1 species